GAUGUCCACCGUAGAUCAUUUUGACAGCUGUUUCUGUAUCGAUGAACGUUAAAUUGCGAUUUCGUAAGCCCAGCGGGCAAUGAGUGGACAUCAAAUUGACAGCCACUGACAUUUUUUUAAAUACACUACAAAUAGCAGUGUUUUAUGCCCGAUUUUGAAUGUCGCGUGCAUUUUUGCUGGCAUUUGCGGACGAAGAGAGAAAACGAAGUUUGUCCAGAAUCCAGAAACGUCGACUGCGGGAUUGCAACAAUUCUCUGGAUUUACCGGAGAAGGAAUUCAUGGCAAAUUUCCGUGUCAACAAAUCAGGGUUUCAGCAAGUUUUGGCAGAGUUACGUCCAUUUCUGCAACGUGCUCAACGAAACACUGCUGUUGCAAUUGAGCUAAAAAUAUUGGCAGUCCUAAACUUUUAUGCAAAUGGAUCAUACCAACGAAGCUCCUCAUUCAUUUGCAACAUGUCUCAACCUACAUUUAGUAGGUGCCUACAUGAGGUAACCGAUGCUCUCAAUGUACGGGACGUGCUACUCAAGUACAUAAAGUUUCCUUCCACUCAACAAGAACGGGAAUCCACCAUGAGAGUGUUUAUGGAAAAAUUUGGAUUCCCAGGAGUUAUUGGGUGCAUUGAUGGAACCCAUGUUGCUAUAAUAAGGCCCACUGACCAUGAAGAAGCUUUUUUUAAUAGAAAACAUUAUCAUUCAUUAAAUGUUUUGCUGAUUUGUGAUGCGAAUUUGCAAAUACUGCAUGUUGAUGCAUCCUAUGGAGGUGCAUCACAUGAUUCAUUUGUGGAACCAAUGCUGCAUUAAAUCUCACCUAGAAGGAUUGGAAAGAUCUGGGGAGCAUUGUUGGCUAUUAGGUGAUUCUGGAUAUGCACAACGCCCUUGGAUGAUGACACCUAUAUUAGAGGCUGCUGUCGGUUCACCAGAGGAACAUUACACCACACUGCAUUGCAAAGUUCGCAAUACCGUUGAGCGUUGCAUAGGUGUAUUAAAGAAUCGUUGGCGCUGUUUAUUAGCACAUAGGGUUCUUCACUAUGACCCAGUGACUGUGGCUAAAAUUGUGAAUGCAUGUGUUGUACUACACAAUAUAGCAAACAUACACAAUGUUCCUCUGCCGGAGCCUGAGAGUGAAGAGUCUGACUAUUUGGAACAGAGCCAAAUCUCCCAACAGAUUAGAGCUGCAGCAAAUCUAGAUAAUUCAAGGACCAGAGAUAUUCUAGUCCAAAGAUUAUGGAAUACCAGGACUAAUUUAUAAACUCUUCCUGGCAUUAUUAAUGGUUUAAGAAUAUUUAUCUAUUUAGUACAAAUCGCGAGGCGCCCCCAGACCCAGACCCAAAACCCUGAAAAUCGGGACAUUCGGCAACACUAUGUGUAAGAACUAAAGUUUAAAUAUUUACUUAAAACCAUUUUAUUUGAUUGGGAUGACUGUCGUUAAAAUAACUCAUUUUUUUUUCUUUCUUCACAUGUGGCUUCCCCGGCGACCACGGGCAUGCGAGGUGCAAGAUUCCCAGCACUUCCCCACCAAGGCGAGCUGAACGAGCCGCAGGAUGCGGUACCUAUUUCAAAACUUGGCUUACCAAGUAACAUUAUUUGAAUUAUAUAAUUUAAUUUCCUCUUAACAUAGUUGCAUUAAAAUAGUUUUAUAUAAUUUAUUCAUUCAAUACAUUAGCUUCACUUGCAUUGUAUAACUUUCUCAGGGAUAACUAGCACUAUAUGAAAAUUAUUGUAAAAAAUUGAUUUUUUUUUAAAAGAGUGUCUAUGGAGUUUCUUGCCGGUUCUUCUCCAUGAGACCCACUCCUUGGAACCGUGCAACUAGCUUGACAUUUCGCAAGAGCUUUUCUACUUGUGAACUUUUAUGCGCCUAUUUUAAAUAAAUAAAAUAUAAUUUUAGUUUGAGUUUGAAUUACCAAUAACCAGUCUUACCAAGGAGUUUUGUUUUAACUGAGUUGAUCAGGUAAGAUAGGCAGUAGCUCCUAGUAAAAUGAAUAGGGUAAGUACCUAAAAUAAAACUAGUUAAGUCUUAUAAACGCUAUUUAUUCUUAGAAUAAAAGGUACAACAUUAUUUAAAAUUUCACUUAAUAAUAAUUAUUCUAAUUAAAAUCUUUUUUAAUAUAAAAACUAAUUAACAAUCACAACGUAGGGUGUAGACAUCCACUUACAAGGGGUCCUAUGGGCAUGGGUAAAACCGCUGACGUUUUUAAACAUUGGACCCAAAAGAUAGAGGGGGGGGCCGCGGAGGAUACAUUGUUUGCAACAUUCGGAACGACAACUAGACCAACGCAGUAGGUAAUCAUUCCCGGUUUGUUUGCCGGCGGUAGUCGUCCCGAAUGUCUCUUAAAACCCCAAGCAUCCCCUCCACUGCUUCUGUGAGUCGGGUCUCCACCUCUAUUCUCCUCAAUUCCAGGUCAUAGGCCCAACGAGGUAUUGACUCCUCUCUGCGAACUGAAAAAAUAAUAUUUGUGACUAUUUUUCUUUUUGGCUUACAUGCAUAUAUCGGGUGUGUCGUUCAUAAUCACAUUAAAUGAAAUGCGUUAAUAUACUGAGUGCUUAGUGCGAG